AUGAACGCUGGCGGCGUGCCUAAUACAUGCAAGUCGAGCGAACGGACGAGAAGCUUGCUUUUCUGAUGUUAGCGGCGGACGGGUGAGUAACACGUGGAUAACCUACCUAUAAGACUGGGAUAACUUCGGGAAACCGGAGCUAAUACCGGAUAAUAUUUUGAACCGCAUGGUUCAAAAGUGAAAGACGGUCUUGCUGGCACUUAUAGAUGGAUCCGCGCUGCAUUAGCUAGUUGGUAAGGUAACGGCUUACCAAGGCAACGAUGCAUAGCCGACCUGAGAGGGUGAUCGGCCACACGGGAACUGAGCCACGGUCCAGACGCCUACGGGAGGCAGCAGUAGGGAAUCUGCCGCAAUGGGCGAAAGCCUGACGGAGCAACGCCGCGUGAGUGAUGAAGGCCUUCGGAUCGUAAAACUCUGUUAUUAGGGAAGAACAUAUGUGUAAGUAACUGUGCACAGCUUGACGGUACCUAAUAAGAAAGCCACGGCUAACUACGUG
rnacentral:rRNA from 1 species